GGCAGCACAGCAGUGACGAAUGGUGACGAUGGCGGUAGCAAAUGAUGGCGACGGUGGUAACGAAUGGUAGCAACGGUGGCAGUAGAUAGUGGACGAUGUGGUUUAGGUCGAUUUUUUUUGAAGGGUGACAGUGGGUAUUUUAGGUAUGGCAUCGGUUAAGGUGGUGGUAGGGUUGGUUUAGGUGUUUGGUGAUUAUGGAGAAAAAGAAAAAAUAGAUGAGAUGGUGCUUGGGGAAGGGAGGAGCAGUGGUGUUUGGGUAAGGGUUUCGAUCGGCAAGAGUACGAUAUUGAGGUAGUAAAGAAUGCUUUCGAAUGGCGGUUAGAGCGAGAGGGCAACAAAUGGAGAAAUGGGAAGAGUGAUAGUUUGAACAACGGGGCCACGGCGGUUCGUGAAGUCCGUGUGCGAUGGUGACCGUAGAUGAUGGUAGUGGCGACGACACUCGACGACUGCACAGAUGAUGGUUGAGGCGGCGGCAGUGUGGUGUGGGGUUAAGGUUUGUUUCUUUUUUUUUUUGGAAAAGAUGAAGAAGAAAAGGGUUUGGGAAUUUUAGGGAUUUUGGGUGUUUGUUUUUUCUUUUUUCUCUUUUUUUUCCUUAUGGCUGGCUUGGGCCUCUUGUCUAUUUCUUUUUCUCUUUUUUUUUUCUUUGGGCCAACUAGGCCGUUCGGCCUAAUGUUAUUUCUUUUCAUUUUUUUCUCAUUUUUUUUCUCUUGGGAUUGUUUGGGUGUUGGGCUAAUUUUGGGUUUAUUGUCUGGUUUUUUUCUUCAUUUGGGUUGGUAUUUAGGUAUGGGGUAGGUUGGUUAAAUGGGUUGGUGGGUGGGUAUUGGAUUUGGGUUUUGGGGUUUUUAUAAAGGUUAGGGAUAUUGGUUUUUUUUAUUUGUAGGUAAAUAAUUGUCACCAUUUAACAUGUCGUGCCCACGCCACCAUCAUUAUUCGACUUUCGAAAAAUUCAAAACCUCCAUUAUGUU
rnacentral:lncRNA from 1 species